rnacentral:lncRNA from 13 species
CAUUCAGACCUCUUCACACUCAGACCCCUUCACAUUCAGACCCCUUCUCACUCAGACCCCUUCUCACUCAGACCCCUUCACACUCAGACCCCUUCACAUUCAGACCUCUUCACACUCAGACCCCUUCACACUCAGACCUAUUUUUCAUUGUGUUGUUGACAUUGAGAGUUGUGGUGCAAGGCAGGAGUUCAACCCCAGAGCCACAGAGUCCACAGUACCUGCAUGUCCACAGUACCUGCAUGGCCACAAGCUGGAGCUCUGGAUUAAUACUGUACCUCAAGGAAAAUGUGUUCAAGGCUUAUAUAAACCUCUUUUAACUGAUUGUACAAUGUGGGGCCAGUUUUGGAGCCUGUAACUACAUGUACGUGUGUGUGUGUUUAGCCUGUCAGCAGGACAGUCAUUCCCAGUGCCACGUCAGACCGUGGCUUCGACAGAGCAGGAAUAACAGGUGAGUUUAUCUAGAUGCGAUGUCGUCAUCCUGUCCUGGAAAUUCCAGAAGAGAACAGGAACAUUCGAACAGGGACACAGGGUUCUAAAUUCUCCCACUGACAACACACAGACCAUUGUAACCACAGGUGGAAUACAUUUG